GGGUGCGACCAUACCAGCACUAACGCACCGGAUCCCAUCAGAACUCUGAAGUUAAGCGUGCUUGGACGAGAGUAGUACUAGGAUGGGUGACCCCCUGGGAAGCCCUCGUGUUGCACCCC
rnacentral:rRNA from 1 species